ACGAGGAGGAUUUUUCACCGGUUGCGGGUGGAUGUUUUACAUUAUAUUCCUAUGAUACAGAGAGGUUUUCUUAAAAAAGGUACUGGGCGCUUUUUAAACCACCGCCACCGGCGUUUUUUUCCACCUACCCCGGGUGGUUUUCAAGUUGAGAAAUUUCUACUCCCAAAGAAAAAACACCCUGCGUCAAGUGGUUUUUUGACAGCUGACCAAUGAAACGAGAGUUUGCGUCAUAGUAAAACUUUAUUGAAAGUUCUUUUUUCAGAAAAAAAAAAUGGCGACCAAAACAAACAAGGCAAAGCUGCCAGCCGAACAACUCGUUGUUCUUGUAAGCGAACAUGUUGAGCUGUAUGACAUGACAAAGAAGUUAUAUCACAACAUAUACCACAAGGAAACCAUCUGGAGGUCGAUUGGUGGAAUUUUGGGGCAUAAUUACUACAUUGGAUGAUUCUAAUAUUAGUUCCCCGUCAAGUCCUGGGCUCGGUCCUGCACACGUCAAUUCCCCACCCUCUCCCUCCCCUUCCCCACAACCACUGCCACAACAACAGCAGCAACAAUUGGGGCCUAUGCGGUCAGAGAGGGGGAAGAAGAAGCAGACCACUCAUACCGUAACCCCAUACCAGCAACAGGUCCUCAGUGCCAUUGCCAAAGAGGAAGAUGAGCAUGAGCGGUUCCUGCUUAGUUUUGCCCCCACAUUGCGAAGGCUGGAGCCUCGUAGGCAAGCGUUGUUAAAGUGUCGCAUGCAAUCCCUGUUUUAUGAUAUAGAAUUUGGUGAAGAAUAGCCUAAUUAAAUUAAUUAUUAAAUUAAUUCAAUAUUAAAUACAUUUAUGACUGAACAAUGA